AAAGCCCAACUUGAGAAUCGGACGGCCGCGCCGUUCGAAUUGUAGUCUGGAGAAGCGUCCUCAGCGGCGGACCGAGCCCAAGUCCCCUGGAAAGGGGCGCCGGAGAGGGUGAGAGCCCCGUUGUGCUCGGACCCUGUCGCACCACGAGGCGCUGUCGGCGAGUCGGGUUGUUUGGGAAUGCAGCCCCAAUCGGGCGGUAAAUUCCGUCCAAGGCUAAAUACGGGCGAGAGACCGAUAGCGAACAAGUACCGUGAGGGAAAGAUGAAAAGAACUUUGAAAAGAGAGUUAAAUAGUGCUUGAAACCGUUGAAAGGGAAGCAGUUGACACCAGUGAGGUGUGCGUGCAUUCUGCCGGGGGGCUUCGGCGCCCCGGUUUUGUGCGCGUGUGCCAGUCAGCAUGGGUUGGCUCUGCGGGAGAUCGCCGGUAAGGAGGUGAGCUGCGGCUUCUUCGGAGGUGCGGUGGCUGUUUAACUUGCCGGAGUGUGCCGCGGGGUGGACCGAGGAAUUUCUUGCGGGAGUCGUGCCGUGGCGCUUGUGGUGCGUCGCCUGUAAACUGUCUGACAGUAAGUGGGCGCCGUGUUGCAACACGCGCGGUGGGGCCCCAGCGGGGGAUGCUGACAAAAUGGUUUCAACUGGCCCGUCUUGUAACACGGACCAAGGAGUCUAACGUAUGCGCGAGUGUUUGGGUGGCAAACCCAUGCGCGGAAUGAAAGUAAAGGGACCGUCCUCGGGCGGCCUGUGGUGCGAGGGGUGUGCCUCGGCGCGCCCCGCAGCAUCGACCGAUCAUGAUUCUCCGAUGAAAGAUUCGAGUUUGAGCGUACAUGUUGGGACCCGAAAGAUGGUGAACUAUGCCUGAGUAGGGCGAAGCCAGGGGAAACCCUGGUGGAGGCUCGAAGGGAUUCUGACGUGCAAAUCGAUCUUCAAAUUUGGGUAUAGGGGCGAAAGACUAAUCGAACCAUCUAGUAGCUGGUUCCCUCCGAAGUUUCCCUCAGGAUAGCUGGCGCUCUCGCAGACCCGACGCACCCCCGCCACGCAGUUUUAUCCGGUAAAGCGAAUGAUUAGAGGUCUUGGGGCCGAAACGAUCUCAACCUAUUCUCAAACUUUAAAUGGGU
rnacentral:rRNA from 1 species